rnacentral:lncRNA from 1 species
UGUUGAGUUGAUUUUCCCCUGUGGGAAGUCUUAAGAGUGGACUUUCCCAGACCAGUUGCUGGCCUGGUUUUUCAGCAACAUCUUUGUUAUCUAAUAUGGUUUUCCUUUGUCUGCACUUGGAGCAAAACCGGGGUGAAUGUUAAAAUAUUAAAAUCACUGCCCCUUAGUUCUUGUAAGAGUUAGAGGUGAUUCCUCACUAGGUGAGAUUUGGUUAAAAAUGUUGAUUUGUGGUAAGUAUAAUGUUGCUGUCAUUUAGACAUCUGCCACCAAAUCCUGGACCUUUAUUCACAAGGGAAACAACAGAUGCCUCACCACACCCCUCAUCAGCUGCAGCAGCCCCCAUCUCUUCAGCCCACACCACAAGUGCCCCCGGUGCCACAGGCACAGCCAUCCCAAGGUUCUGAAGCAGCGCAGCCGCAGCAGAAGGAUGCACAGCAGCAGCAGCAGCAGCAGCAGCAGCAGCAGCAGCAGCAGCAGCAGCAAGCACAACAGCCCAAGAAACCAUCCCCUCAGCCCAGUCCUCCGCGACAGGCCAAGCGUGCCGUGGUGGUGUCUCCCAAGGAAGAGAACAAAGCCACAGAACCACCACCACCACCUAAAAUUCCCAAACUUGAGGCUGCUCACCCACCAUUGCCUCCAGCACACCCGCCUCCAGACCGGAAGCUUCCCCUUGCUCCUGCCUUAGGUGAGGCUGAACCGACUGGCCCUGUGGAAACAAGUGACCUCCCUAAAGUCCAGAUUCCUCCCCCAGCCCACCCGGCCCCUGUGCACCAGCCCCCACCACUGCCACAUCGGCCUCCACCCCCGCCGCCCUCCAGCUACAUGACUGGGAUGUCUACCACCAGCUCCUACAUGUCAGGAGAGGGCUACCAGAGCCUGCAGUCCAUGAUGAAAACAGAGGGGCCCUCCUAUGGCGCCCUUCCCCCAGCCUAUGGCCCACCUGCUCACCUAACAUACCAUCCCCAUGUCUACCCCCCCAACCCACCUCCACCUCCUGUUCCUCCACCCCCAGCCUCCUUCCCUCCACCAACCAUCCCUCCCCCUACCCCAGGCUACCCUCCACCU